CAAAGCACAGGAAAAUGAUUGAUGCAAAGGAGGACCCUCUCUGUGGGAGCUAUGCGGCCCAAGGAGAGAUGGCAUUGUGAACCUACCAAGUAAAUGGAGGGCUUGUUUUUGAGAGUCAGGAGUUUCUCACCAUGCCCCUUGGGGCCCUCCACCCUGGAUGGAGGGACACAAAGCUACUGCACUUGAGUCAGACUUCCUGAUUUUUGCCUCGAAACGAAAAGAGAAGCUGGACAGGAGAGACAUAGCUAAGGAUCUAGAAGUUGAUCCUUGAGGCUGCUCCCUGCUGAGCUUUAAUCAACAUACCCUCGCUCCUGCUGGUCUCAGGACAACGCCCUCACUCCCCAGUGCUCCCAAGACUCAAGGGCUCCAAGCCAGAGGCUGGACACAAACACAGCAGAGGAGUGGUGACCGCUACGGAGCGAUGCUCAGAGGCUGACACACAGCUGUAGCGUUCCCGGAAGCUGGAGCAUGAGCGAAGUAGCAGGAUUCUGGUCAAAUGUGCAUUUACAAGAUGAACACGUUCUGGGGGCUGAAGGUACAGCAGGAAUGCUGACGGACGCACUCACCUCAUGGUGACACCAUGGUUCCAAAGCAACAAAACACAUCGUUCACGGACUGCAACCUCUAAAACUGUGGGACAAAACAAACCUUCGCUCUUCGUAAGCUUAUCACCUCAGUUAUUUGUCACAGGAAUGAGAUGCUAGCUCAGCAUGUCAAAUAUAUAUAAAAUAUAUUUGUAAAAAGAGGAAAACUUUGACUUGAUUUAUAGAGAAAGACAUAAACUCAGACGCAGACCUGAACAAGAAAACUAAGACUUCUGGUCCCCAAACACAUGGGAAAGGGUAGGACUGUGGACAUUCGCUGGACAAUGUCAUGCAUACAAGCAACUGGAAACUGACAACCUCAUUCAUUCCUUGAGAAAUACCCACUGAGCAUCUGGGACAGAAAACACAACCCGGUCCUUCUCUAGAAGCUUCCUGGGCAGGAGCUGACUUGAAUAAUCACUCAACUGAACCUACAGUAGUCAUACACAUGUUAGAUGCUAACUUAGCUACUCUAAGACUAACACCGGUUCACUGUGCUCUCUUAAAAAGGACCGGAUUAUUUUUGUAUCUUUGCAUAUUUAUACGCUUAAAUACACAGGCCACCACGGAAUUUUUAAGAAGCAGAAUAUAAAUAUAGAGUUUAAUGAGACAGCAGAUGCAUGAUAUUUCAGCAGUAUACAAGGCCCCCAUAGCACAGCAAACCCUCAGAUUUGGAAGGGCAGCUAGCUCAUGUAAGUUCACCCAAGUGCAUAAAGGAAGGCAGUAAUAGACUCAUCUGCAGGGGAAAGGCAAGAGCUACCCUGCUCGUUAGCUUCGUGACAAGUUCCCUCCCACAGCCUAUGCAAUUCAGUGUCUGUGGCUUACAGCUCCUCUGGUUGCUCAGAAGAGUCAAUCCAUGUGCUUUUACCUAAGGGAUGAGAUGUACGGAAGUGUAAGAUCUGGCCCUGCAGCAUCCAUAAUCAUGAAACAAAGCCAAGCAGCUAUGCUCGAAUACUUUCACACUGAAUAUAGAAUCCUUCAGGGUUUUGCUCACCCACUCUGAUGAUGGCUGGAACAAAGCAACUGCUCUGUUAGUCUUACCUAUUUAUAUCAUCCGAUAGCCUGUGGGAAGUAUAAACCCAAAAACUAUCAUCUUGUUCCCGCUCCAGUUGUAAAUUCUCCAAGCAAGUAGUGGGUGACAUAUGCCACACAUAAUGCUAGGGAUUUCCACAUAUUCCUCAAUCUACUUUUUUAUUCCAAAAGCUGUUUGCAUAUAUGGGUAAGGAAUGGUGCUUGAAAGAUAGAUGGUUGGUGAUCAUCAAUAUAUAAUUUGGGGGAUUUGUUCAAAUUUGCCAUAGCUACACGCAUGGCAAAGAGUGUCAGAGGCACGGUCAUAGUCCGGUGAAAGAGGAGAAUAAACUAGACAAGGAAGGCAUCUAUUACAGGAUACCUUUGGGCUUUCCAAAGCUACAAGAUCCCUAAUGCACCUGUGAAGAAAUAGUGACAAUUUUUAACUUGCCAUAUAAUGUUAAGCUGUUACUAUUUACAUCUUUGUCAGUGGGUUGAGCCAAAUAAAAUUGCUAUUUAUGUAGGUAAAAGUGGUUAACUAUUAGCUAUUUUAUAUUGAUCUACCUAUUUAUCAAUAUAUCAGGAAGAUAUCCCCCCAACUCCCUGUGUCCUGUCCCUGCUCCAAGGGAAAAAUUUAAACUGAUGAGUGAUCAUAAAGAGAGAGUAUGCUACAGGCAUUUAUAAACAAUGGUAGUAAAUUCUGACACUCAGCAUCAAAUUCCUUUAAGUGUUUCUAAAGGAGUCCCACAAGACCCGUUAUGCAAUAUUAGUAAAGAGAGGACCAAGUCAGAAGAAACACCCCUCCAAAAGCCCUUUGGUAAGGGCUUCUGUACAAUCCUCUUGAAGAAACAGAACAAAGCUGCACAGGGAGGUGUUAAUUCCCACUUCCAAGUUCACGCACCCCCAAGCCUCGCAUUAAAGGCAAACACAUGAGGUCUCCGCAGAGAGUGCAGGGGGCAAGCCCUUUUCCUCUUAUUUUCAUCUUCCUUCAGGACAAAAAGAGAGAUUCUGGUCAGUUUCCUGCCAUCUCACUCAACUUUUUGUAAGUGCCCUCCAGUACACACCAACAUGGGAAUCCCUCCCAUUCAUGAAAGCUGCUCCGCAAGAAAACUCAUCUCAAAGUAUUAUCAUCAAUGGGAUCAUUCAGCAGAGGAAAUUACAGUGGUGAAAUCCAGAGAACCAUGGAUGUUUUGGGGUUCUUGGCCAUCUUUGUGCAAAGUGCCUAAUGUCCCUGACACUUGAUUUUCCUUACAAUAAAUGGGAAUAUUACCACUUUC